rnacentral:rRNA from 1 species
GUGAACGCUGGCGGUAGGCCUAACCCAUGCAAGUCGAACGGCAGCACAGUAAGAGCUUGCUCUUACGGGUGGCGAGUGGCGGACGGGUGAGGAAUACAUCGGAAUCUACUUUUUCGUGGGGGAUAACGUAGGGAAACUUACGCUAAUACCGCAUACGACCUACGGGUGAAAGCAGGGGAUCUUCGGACCUUGCGCGAUUGAAUGAGCCGAUGUCGGAUUAGCUAGUUGGCGGGGUAAAGGCCCACCAAGGCGACGAUCCGUAGCUGGUCUGAGAGGAUGAUCAGCCACACUGGAACUGAGACACGGUCCAGACUCCUACGGGAGGCAGCAGUGGGGAAUAUUGGACAAAGGGCGCAAGCCUGAUCCAGCCAUACCGCGUGGGUGAAGAAGGCCUUCGGGUUGUAAAGCCCUUUUGUUGGGAAAGAAAAGCAGCAGGUUAAUACCCCGCUGUUCUGACGGUACCCAAAGAAUAAGUACCGGCUAACUUCGUG